rnacentral:rRNA from 1 species
UUUAACUGACGCUGAGGCACGAAAGCGUGGGUAGCAAACAGGAUUAGAUACCCUGGUAGUCCACGCUGUAAACGAUGAUUACUAGGUGUGGGGGGAUUGACCCCUUCCGUGCCGCAGUUAACACAAUAAGUAAUCCACCUGGGGAGUACGGCCGCAAGGUUGAAACUCAAAGGAAUUGACGGGGGCCCGCACAAGCAGUGGAGUAUGUGGUUUAAUUCGAAGCAACGCGAAGAACCUUACCGGGGCUUGACAUCCUAGGAAGAUUUCAGAGAUGAGAUUGUGCCCUUCGGGGAACCUAGAGACAGGUGGUGCAUGGUUGUCGUCAGCUCGUGUCGUGAGAUGUUGGGUUAAGUCCCGCAACGAGCGCAACCCUUGCUUUUAGUUGCUACGCAAGAGCACUCUAGAAGGACUGCCGUUGACAAAACGGAGGAAGGUGGGGACGACGUCAAAUCAUCAUGCCCCUUAUGUCCCGGGCUACACACGUACUACAAUGGCCGUCAACAGAGGGAAGCAAUGGAGCGAUCCGGAGCAAACCCCCAAAAACGGUCCCAGUUCAGAUUGUAGGCUGCAACUCGCCUACAUGAAGUUGGAAUUGCUAGU